rnacentral:rRNA from 1 species
UACGUAGGUGGCAAGCGUUGUCCGGAUUUACUGGGCGUAAAGAGCGCGCAGGCGGUCGGCCAAGUCGAGUGUGAAAGCCCCCGGCUCAACUGGGGAGGGUCAUUCGAUACUGGUCGACUCGAAGGCAGGAGAGGGAAGCGGAAUUCCCGGUGUAGUGGUGAAAUGCGUAGAUAUCGGGAGGAACACCAGUGGCGAAGGCGGCUUCCUGGCCUGUUCUUGACGCUGAGGCGGCGAAAAGCUAGGGGAGCAAACGGG